CUGUGGCUGAGUGGGAGAGCACUUGCUUUCAACACAAAAGUUCCUAGGUUCAAUCCCUGCCAUUGGGA